AUUAAAGUGGCAGAGUAGUGCAUUAGAUUUAAGCUUUAAACAUAGAGAAGUUCUCUUUAAUA
rnacentral:tRNA from 1 species